rnacentral:sRNA from 1 species
GGCGCCGACUUCGACUCUUGGGGCCAGCUGGUGGAGGCGAUAGACGAGUAUCAGAUGCUGUGAGUCCCACCCACCCCCUCGCUCGGUUGCCUUGGGUGGAGUCCGCGCAGGAUGUGAACCGAAGAGAGCAAAAUGUGAAUUAAUGGACCACGCACAGGAGCUCCACGCCCUCCUUGGAUCCCUCCUCCUUUUCCUGUAUGUAAUGUAUAGCCGCAGGGUACAAAUUAGCAAGACAUCUACAAAAGGAGGCCCAAGCUCAACACAAUAAUUCUGAAUUCACAGAAGAACAAAAGAAAACCAUAGGCAAAAUUGCAACAUGCUUGGAAUUGCGAAGUGCAGCUUUACAGUCCACACAGUCUCAAGAAGAAUUUAAACUGGAGGACCUGAAGAAGCUAGAACCAAUCCUAAAGAAUAUUCUUACAUAUAAUAAAGAAUUCCCAUUUGAUGUUCAGCCUGUCCCAUUAAGAAGAAUUUUGGCACCUGGUGAAGAAGAGAAUUUGGAAUUUGAAGAAGAUGAAGAAGAGGGUGGUGCUGGAGCAGGGUCUCCUGAUUCUUUUCCUGCUAGAGUUCCCGGUACUUUAUUACCAAGGUUGCCAUCGGAACCAGGAAUGACAUUACUCACUAUCAGAAUUGAGAAAAUUGGUUUGAAAGAUGCUGGGCAGUGCAUCGAUCCCUAUAUUACAGUUAGUGUAAAGGAUCUGAAUGGCAUAGACUUAACUCCUGUGCAAGAUACUCCUGUGGCUUCAAGAAAAGAAGAUACAUAUGUUCAUUUUAAUGUGGACAUUGAGCUCCAGAAGCAUGUUGAAAAAUUAACUAAAGGUGCAGCUAUCUUCUUUGAAUUCAAGCACUACAAGCCUAAAAAAAGGUUUACCAGCACCAA